GACGAACGCUGGCGGCGUGCUUAACACAUGCAAGUCGAACGGAAAGGCCCUGCUUUUGUGGGGUGCUCGAGUGGCGAACGGGUGAGUAACACGUGAGUAACCUGCCCUUGACUUUGGGAUAACUUCAGGAAACUGGGGCUAAUACCGGAUAGGAGCUCCUGCUGCAUGGUGGGGGUUGGAAAGUUUCGGCGGUUGGGGAUGGACUCGCGGCUUAUCAGCUUGUUGGUGGGGUAGUGGCUUUCCAAGGCUUUGACGGGUAGCCGGCCUGAGAGGGUGACCGGCCACAUUGGGACUGAGAUACGGCCCAGACUCCUACGGGAGGCAGCAGUGGGGAAUAUUGCACAAUGGGCGGAAGCCUGAUGCAGCAACGCCGCGUGCGGGAUGACGGCCUUCGGGUCGUAAACCGCUUUCGCCUGUGACGAAGCGUGAGUGACGGUAAUGGGUAAAGAAGCACCGGCUAACUACGUG
rnacentral:rRNA from 1 species